GAUCGGAUAGUGUCGAGAGCUUCAUGUGAACUAAGAUUGGGAUUUCUUAAGGUAUUGACGAUUGAAGAGGAGUAGGAAAUGGCAAAGUAUUACGAUAUGGAUGACAUAAUCAUGGAGGAUGAGCUUGUCUCUGUUGUCUUCAAAGUGGGUGCAAAUGGAGUUGGACUUCUUGAUCCCGGCGCUGAAACAAACAAUGUCUGCGUGUCCCUCUGAUUUCCUGAGCAUAAUCUUGGCUGGAGUUCUCAAUGUCAUGACCAGAUUUUUU